rnacentral:snoRNA from 1 species
CAGUCUAUUAAAUGACCUGUGAAGCCAAGGGCUCUUAAUGCUAUGACCAAAGACGGAAGCUCCCUAUAAGAUGCCACCCCUCAAUAGUGCACUUUUUCUGAGAAGAUAUAAGA